AGACCCGGAGCUUGCUCCGGAAUUCUUAGUGGCGAACGGGUGAGUAACGCGUGGGAAUCUACCUAGAAAUGGGGAAUAACUAUUGGAAACGAUAGCUAAUACCGCAUAAUCCCCUUGGGGCAAAGGCUUCGGCCGUUUUUAGAUGAGCCCGCGUUAGAUUAGGCUGUUGGUGAGGUAAUGGCUCACCAAACCUACAAUCUAUAGCUGGUCUGAGAGGAUGAUCAGCCACACUGGGACUGAGACACGGCCCAGACUCCUACGGGAGGCAGCAGUGGGGAAUAUUGGACAAUGGGGGAAACCCUGAUCCAGCAAUGCCGCGUGAGUGAUGAAGGCCUUAGGGUUGUAAAGCUCUUUCAGAAGUGAAGAUGAUGACGGUAACUUCAGAAGAAGCUCCGGCUAACUCCGUGCCAGCAGCCGCGGUAAUACGGAGGGAGCUAGCGUUGUUCGGAAUUACUGGGCGUAAAGAGCGUGUAGGCUGUUAGGUAAGUCAGAGGUGAAAUCCCUAAGCUCAACUUAGGAACUGCCUUUGAUACUAUCUUACUAGAGAUCGAGAGAAGUUGGCGGAAUUCCAAGUGUAGAGGUGAAAUUCGUAGAUAUUUGGAAGAACACCAGUGGCGAAAGCGGCCAACUGGCUCGUUUCUGACGCUAAGACGCGAAAGCGUGGGUAGCAAACAGGAUUAGAUACCCUGG
rnacentral:rRNA from 1 species